rnacentral:tRNA from 1 species
GAAAUAAUAAAAAAAAUAAGCUUCUAACUUAAUUUUAAAGCAUUAAUAUGUUUAUAUUUCU